rnacentral:rRNA from 1 species
UACAGGGGGUGCAAACGUUGCUCGGAAUCAUUGGGCGUAAAGCGCACGUAGGCGGUUCGUUAUGUCGGAUGUGAAAGCCCUUGGCUUAACCGAGGAAGUGCAUCCGAAACUGGCGAGCUAGAGUACGAAAGAGGAUCGCGGAAUUCCCGGUGUAGAGGUGAAACUUCGUAGAUAUCGGGAGGAACACCGGUGGCGAAGGCGGCGAUCUGGGUCGAUACUGACGCUGAGGUGCGAAAGCGUGGGGAGCAAACAGG